AGUAAUACCGGCUCCCUAUUUUCUAAGAUUAGAUUUUAAGAAAUAUUUAUUGUGUAGAGAUAAAUAAAAGUCCACUGAUCUAAGGUAUUUAUAGUCUGUUAGGGAAGACAGGUCUAUAAAUAGAUCAUUGCAAUAUAGUGUGAAAGUUCAAAAGUAAACAUGUCAAAAUCCAGAAGUAGCUCUAAGGAAGCAAUGAUUGAUUAAUUAUUUGAUUGGCAAAGAACAAGAAAGAUAAAGCAGUGGUUGAUGACUAGACUCACAGCAGGUGGACAGGGUUAAGGCAAAGACAUUUCAGGAAGGAGACUAGUAUAUGCACGAUUACAGAGAUGGUAAAUGGCCCAGUGUGCUCGGAGAGCUAGAAGUAAUUUUGUACUGCUUAUAUAAAAGGCUGUAGGCACUGCCCAGAAAUGCCACUGGAGAGUAGACAGGGCCAGAUCCAGAGGGACCUGUGUGCUUGGAUUUUAUUCUUUAGGCAGGGGAAGGAUUUAAAGCAGGUGAGAGUCACAACAGUGUGUAUUUGGGGAUCACUCUGGCAGAAUGGAUUGGAGGGAGUGAGCAUGUAAGGUAGGAAGACUAGGCAGAGGGAAAAAUAAGAUCAGUGAACCAGAAAGGAGGGACAGAGGAAAUGGAGGUGCCAGGACUGAGCUGAGAGCUGAACUGUUCAGGAGCUGGAAAGGUUAGGACUUGGUGACUGACCAGAGAAUUUUCUUUCUGUAACUUAAGAUACAUGGCUUUCUCCACUUCUCCCCAGUUAAUUCCUAAUGUUUUUAUCUCUUAGUUUCAGAUUAGUUAUCCUACCCCUUAGACUAUCGAGAGAGUGAAGAAGCUCGUUGCAUAUUGAUUUUUCCUAAAGCCCAGCCUAACGCUGUGUUCUUUUUAGGUGAGAUGGGCAGACCUGGAAGAAAAGAAGGACGCAGAUAGGAAAAGGGCCAUAGGUUUUGUGGUCGGACAGACUGAUUGGGAGAAGAUCACAGAUGAAAGUGGUCACCUGGCUGAAAAAGCCCUCAAUCGAACCAAAUAUAUAUGAUACUUAGUUUUUGAACGGAGUCAUUGUUCCUCUAAGGUGGUUCGCUUUGAGGUGAUCUGAAGCCACGGCCUCAUGGAGCUUCGUUGUGUGUCACCUUGCCUUCCACGUUUCAGUUUUUGUUUUGUUUCUACCACUUUAGUUUUUUUAAAGUUCUCCAGUGUCCCCAAGAGGUCUUAGAAUCUUGCUAUACCCAAGCAAGACAUUAAUUUUUCUUUUUAACUAUUUUGGGGAGGGAGGGAGUGAUAGCUUAACUGCUGAAGCCAGGUGGGGGUCUGCUGGAGGAUUCCAACAGAAAAUAUUUCCUCCGCUGUACAAUGUCACAGACUAUCUCUAUCAUCAUUGCUUUGUGGCUGUUUUUGUUUUUUACUGUAUGUAACUGGUAGCUGAUUGUACUAGGAUUAAAAACAAUAAACUUUCACGAUAAAGCCGAUGAGAUUCAUGGGCUAUACAGCA